rfam:Candidatus Xenolissoclinum pacificiensis L6 Contig15, whole genome shotgun sequence.
GCGGACGUAGUUCAGUUGGUAGAACCCUGGUUUGUGGUACCAGAUGUCGCCAGUUCGAAUCUGGUCGUUCGCC